AUUUGAUGGCCAAAUGCAAUGGAAAAGUUAGUUCACAAAAGGUGUUUCCUAGUAUUGUUCUGCCUUGGAGGUAUGUGAUUUCAUUAUUCAUCUCUUAAUUUUGUAAGAAAGUGAAACUGUGUACAACUUGGUUUUUAUUAGCAGUUAUACAACUUUGUUUGAAUGAUCCUGUUUUUUAUUUUUUGGUAGUAUUUAGCAUUUGAGUCGAUUCCAAUUCUCAGGAACAAUUUCUGCGAAGAUAUUGAAUCCGUAGAUCCUCAGUGUCCCUGGAUGUGUAAAAUGAUGUUUAAAUUAAGUACUAUGAAAGGGUUUUCAAUGUCAGAUGUGUAUGACAAACUUGGUAAAACGAAGGUUAGUGAUAACAUGUUUAUUAAUUACCUAUCAAAUACCAUGGAUGUUGUAUUAAUUGGAUUUUCUUAUCAUGCACAAAACAUUCAGAGUAUCUUGACUCCAACUGCUGAUGAGAAACUACUUUUGGAAAGAACUAUGGAUGUGGAGUGUGGAGUGAAUGAUGUUGAUGAUGUAAUAGUUGAUGGCUGGAAGAAGCGUCUAGUUGAUGAGCAGAAGACUAUAUUUUGAACCGUUGUUCAAUGAAGAUGUAGUCAACAAGACAUUUGUGGCUAAUAUAGCUCCGACUACUGUGGUCAAGGCUCUCAGAAAAGCCGGUGUGGAAAAAAAGCAAGGUAAAAGUGGCUCAGACUCCGACUAUUGCAAGUAAUGAUGGUUUGACUGAGGUUGUAAGCGGAUUGAAGACUUUGAUGGAGAAUGGAUUUAAGGAUAUAAGUAAGAAGAUGAAAGAUUGCAGUAAGACGUAUGAAGAACAAGAUAAAAGUUUCAAACUGAUGGAAGCGGCAAUCAAAUCAAUCCAAUCUAAUACUAGAACUAAUGAUAUUUAUAGUUCAAAGGAGAAUGAUGUUAGAGAAAAAGAGAUGGGGACGAAAGAUGGAGAAAACGAGGCGGAGGAAGGGAGUGAUGCAAAUGGUGGUGAGAAGGGGAGUGAGGUUGGAGAAAAAGAGACUAAGAUAGAAAAAGAUGGUUCUGAAGAUGAGAGUGAUGUGGGUGGUGGUAACAACGAGAUGGAGAUGGACAAAGAGCUGGCUGAAGAUGAGAGUGAUGUGGGUGGUGGUAAUAAGGAGAUGGAGAUGGACAAAGAGGUGGCUGAAAAUGAGAUUGAUGUGGGUGGUGGUAAUAGGGAGAUAGAGAAAGACAAAGAGAUUGCUGAAAAUUAGAUUGAUGUGGGUGGUGGGAAUAAGGAGAUGGAGAAGGACAAAGAGAUGGUUCAAAAUAAGAGUGAUGUGGGUGGUAGUAAUAGGGAGAUGGAGAAGGACAAAAGGGUGCUUCAAGAUGAUAAGAUGGAUGGAGGUAAGGCUGCUGAGCCUAGUAAGAAGAGAGAAAUGUCUCAUGAUGAUGGAGAUGAUCCAAGUAAUAAGAGAAGAAAGUCUCAUGAUGAUGGAGAUGAUCCUAGUGAAGGGGGCGUUAAAAAGCUGAAGGUGGUAAAGAAGAUGACAAAGUCGAGGACGAAUGCGAAGCCGGUGUAUCGGAGUCCUAUACUCUCGAGAAAUGCAAAGACAAAGACAAAGAAUGUUUAAGCACUUUUAAUUGUUUGUUUUAUGUGUCAUGAAUUAGUGUUUU
rnacentral:sRNA from 1 species